ensembl:lncRNA
GUGCGGACUCCGGCCGCAAAACCUUGACCUAUAGGGGAGGGUCUGGGUGGGCGUCUGUCCGCGGUGGCGGCUCUGGCGCGGGACGCGGACCCCACUUCACCAUUGUCUUAGUCCGCCUCAUUGUCCGCCUCCGUGGCUCUCUAACCAUGGCAACCCCUCUCAAUGACCCCACUGGACAGAGGGGCAGCUCGGGACAGAGGGGCAGCUCGGGACAGAGGGGCAGCUGCUCGGGACAGAGGGGCAGCUGCUCGGGACAGAGGGGCAGCUGCUCGGGACAGAGGGGCAGCUGCUCGGGACAGAGGGGAAGCUCGGGAUAGAGGGGCAGGGGCUCUGGCGCUUCUGGGCUGAGAGGCUCUGGCGCCUCUGGGCUGAGGGGCUCUGGCGCCUCUGGGCUGACUGGCGGCACUGGCGCCUCUGGGCUGACUGGUGGCACUGGCGGCCCCUGGCUAACUGGUUUGCACUGGCGGCCCCUGGCUGACUGGCGGCACUGGGCGGUGCUGGGCAGACGGGUGGCUCAGGCGGCGCUGGGCAGAUGGGUGGCUCAGAUGGCGCUGGGCAGACGGGAAGCUCCGGCAACGCUGGAGAGACGGGUAGCUCAGAUGGCGCUGGGCAGACGGGAAGCUCCGGCAACGCUGGAGAGGAAGGCUCUGUCAGCGCUGGACUAAGGAGCUCUGGUGCCUCUGGAAUGAGGGGCUCUUGCGCCUCUGGAAUGAGGGGCGGGAGCUCUGGUAGCGCCGAACAGGCGGGAGACUCCGGCUGCGCUGGAGAGGAGGAAGGCUCCGGCAGCGCUGGACAGGCGGGAGCACCUGUAGGGGUGAGACGGAGAGACAGCCUGGUGCGGGGGGCUGCCACCUCCACGGCUGGUGCGUGGAGGUGGUACCGGAUAGACCGGACCGUGCAGGCGCACUGGAGCUCUUGAGCACCGAGCCUGCCCAACCUUACCCGGUUGAAUGCUCCCGGUCGCCCUGCCAGUGCGGCGAGGUGGAAUAGCCCGCACUGGGCUAUGCAGGCGAACCGGGGACACCGUGCGCAAGGCUGGUGCCAUGUAAGCCGGCCCAAGGAGACGCACUGGGGACCAGAUGCGUAGAGCCGGCUUCAUGGCACUUGGCUCAAUGCUCACUCUAGCCUGGCCGAUACACGGAGCUGGUAUGUACCGCACCGGGCUAUGCACCCGCACUGGGGACACUGUGCGCUCCACAGCAUAACACGGUGCCUGCCCGGUCUCUCUCACCCCCCGGUAAGCACAGGAAGUUGGCGCAGGUCUCCUACCUGGCUUCGCCACACUUCCUGUGUGCCCCCCCCAAGAAAUUUUGGGGGCUGACUCUCGGGCUUCCAUCCGCUCUGCCGUGCUAGCUCCUCAUAAUGCCGCAUCUCUGCUUUUGCUGCCUCCAGCUCGGCUUUGGGGCGGCAAUAUUCCCCUGGCUCUGCCCAGGGUCCUUUCCCGUCUAGAAUCUCCUCCCAAGUCCAUCUCUCCAAAUAGUGCAGCCUCUCCCACUGCUGCUGCUGCUGCUCCUGCUGCUGCUGCCUCUGUUGCUUCUCCUGCUGCUGCUUUUGCCGUUGCCUGUUACCACGCCGCUUGGUCCUGUUGUGGUGGGUGAUUCUGUAAGGGUUUUCCUGUGGUGAAGGAGAAGUGGACCAAAAUGCAGUGUGGUGGUUAUUCAUGUUCUUUAAUAAAGGAACUAGACAUGAAAUAACUAACAAAACAAUAAAUGUGCGAAAACCUAAACAGUCCUAUCUGGUGCAAACACAGAGACAGGAACAAUCACCCACAAACACACAGUGAAACCCAGGCUACCUAAGUAUGAUUCUCAAUCAGAGACAACUAAUGACACCCGCCUCUGAUUGAGAACCAUACUAGGCCGAAACAUAGAAAUACCCAAAACCUAGAAAAACAAAC